CGGAGGCCCCGCGGCCGGCGGUCGCGGCGGGGGCGGCGCGGCGCCUGCCCGCGCUCGCCAGCAGGCCGUGGUCGGGCGCCCGAGCCGGGCUUCGGCCUAGCCUGGCCGCCGCCGCCGCCGCCGCCGCCGCCGCGCCGCCGCGCAGCGCGUAGGGAGGAAGAGGAAAUGCCCGGCCGCCGGCGCCCGCCGCUCUUCGGUACUGCCGGCCCGCGUGGCCCGUAGGGCACCCGCCUGCCCGGCCGCCCCAGCUCCGUCUGGGGCCUACCCGGGUCUCGGCUGUGGGCGCCCCCGCCGCUGGGCUGGGCUGAUCGCGGGCGGCGGGCACUGCCCGGCGACGAGCUGCGGCUCCGAGGGGCCCUGGCCCUCGGGCGCAUUGCUGGCCAGCCGGCCGGGGAAGCUAGCUUUGGGCCCCGACCCCGAGGAGAGGCUGCGGACUGCCUGGGGACAUGUAUUUGUGUUUCUUUUUAAACCAGCGUCUCGGAAGGGAGAGGCGGCAGGCCUCCGGUCGUCGUUGGGUGUUGAGAGGCCGGGUGACUCGCGGUCGGGAGAGGGCGUGGGCUCAAGAGGCAGCCGGACAUGGCUGCUGAGCCCCAAGGCCGCCUCCUCGCGACCAUCUCUUUGAAGACUCCGCGCCCGCCAGCCCAAGUGUCCGGGGGGGACCCGCGCAGAGUUUGUUCCAGCACCUUGCUCACCUUGAAUGCGCUGCUUGGAAAACUUUUGGAGGUCGUAUUAAUUCAACGAAUAUUUAUACGACCCCUUAGCACGUGUCGGUGGAAGUGUGGUUCGAUGGAAAUGGACCAUGCCUCGGAGUCAAGACAGAUCUGCCAUCGGAUUCUGGUUCUGAUACACUCUGUGUAACCUUGGCAAAUUAUUUAACCUUGCUGAGUCUCCUUUUUUUUUUUUUUUUUUUUAUUUGUCCUAUGUUCGCUUUUGGUUAUUUCAGUUUACUCUUUUAUAUUUGAAAUUGUUCCGGGCUUUUUGGUUUGUGUGUGUGUGUAAAAUAGAAGUCUGUUGCUAGGCGAAGGCUAUUCUUGAUCCUGUACACCAUUACUAGCUGUGUGACCUGGGGCAGCGCAUGGCAGCCUUCUGUGGCUUGAUUUCCCCAUCUUUAAAAUGUCCCAGAUUACAAAUGAUAAUACGGCUAAUAAUGACAAUAACAGUUGGUAUUUGGAAGAUUUAGUGCCAAAAUGUGUAUAAAAUACGUAGCACAGGACAUAGUAUAGUGUUUGUUACCAUGUUUGAUUAAAUCUGAUUUCAAGCAUAUUAAAAAGCUUGUUUUAAAGUCCAGGAAUAGGUAUUAGGUCACUCAGAUCUACCAAAGGACUCCAUUUGGUAGUAACUAGUGAUAUACUGUCAGCCAAAUAAGGUUUAAGCAAAUGGGGAUUUAAACGAGGACUUUGUCACCAGAAAUAUUUCCGUUGCACUCAAUGGAGCUUUUGCCUAAAUUAAGUCCAGCACAGCUGUUGAAGAAAGAGGUCCACCCAGGCCAUUAUUGGGGUUUGGUGGAGUAGAGAACCUGGCUUCCAGCAAGUCUGGCUGACAUUUAUAGAACCUGUGCCUUUCUAAGCACUUUACAGUAUUGGUGUGUGUGAUCCUGGGUACCGAACACUAAGGAGCUUCUGGGUGUUGGGCUUUAAAAGCGAGGACAGCACCACCCUACAGUUUUGUGAUGACUAGAUGAUGUCUGUAAAUAUAUUAAGGUACAGACAUUAAGGCAUUGUCAGUAGUAUACAUGGCUGGAGGAGGGAAGAGAAGCAACAAAAAUAAAUUGACUCCAGGAAGAAAUAAGAGUAAGUAUAGAGGUUUAGUUUGUUUCAGUUUGGAGAGUUGUUAGCUCAUUCUGUUAAGGAGAGCAAACAGAAAAAGUGUCUAAACCUCAAGGGAAUAUCAGAUCUUUGACAGUUAUUUCACUGUUUGCAGUCAGUCAAAAGUAAGAAAAUGAAAAUGACUAAACAUUUUUCUUCUUUGCAUAAGCCUAAGGAGGAAUAUUACAGUUAUCUGGGGUUUUCAUGGCUGAAGGAAACAUUUCCUCAAUUCAGUUAGAGGUCAGGCCCUUCACUUUAAAACAACCUUCUGCUUGCUGUUCAGCCGUAUAGGAGAUUUCCUUUCCAGAAAGAUCAAGUGCUUUACCAAAUUGCCCAUCAGAUGAUUUCUGUUCUUCAGAAAUGGUUCUUCCAGUCCUUUCCACUCCCUGUACCUCCUUUUGAGUUUGUCCAAUGUCCUUGCCUCGCUAACCCAUCUUCCAUACUGUGGCCCAAUUAUGUUCUGUAAAACAAGCUAAUGCAUGUAAACACUGGUGAAAUCUGAAUAAGGUCUGUAGCCUAGUUAUUUGCAUUGUGCUAAUAUCAGCUUCCCGGCUUUGAUAGUUUUCUAUAGUUUUGUAAAAUGUUACUACCAUUGGAGGGAGCUGGGUGAAUGCACAUGGGCCCUCUCUGCAAUUUCCUGUGAGUAUAUUAUCAUUUCAGACUAAAAAAUUAUAGAGAUAGAAAUCA